rnacentral:sRNA from 1 species
ACACAGAAGGGAGGUGAUCCGAAGAAUGAGUUCUUUUCGGAUGAGUGAGGUGGCUGCCCGCUAGGCAGCCCGGUCCGCCGACAGCUGCCGGCGAAUCCACUGCAGCCACCCGACCCGCAGGCUCCCGGAGUUCAUCCGCCGGGGCCCCUCUCCGAGGGGCAGCAGCCUGCGGGUCGCUGCAU